rnacentral:rRNA from 1 species
GAUGAACGCUGACAGAAUGCUUAACACAUGCAAGUCGAUUCGAUUUACCUUCGGGUAUUGAGGAUGGCGGACGGGUGAGUAACGCGUAAGGAACUUGCCUCUUGGUCUGGGACAACUGUUGGAAACGACAGCUAAUACCGGAUAUUAUGAGAUUCUCGCAUGGGAAACUUAUGAAAGCUAUAUGCGCCAAGAGAGAGCCUUGCGUUCCAUUAGCUAGUUGGUGGGGUAACGGCCCACCAAGGCGACGAUGGAUAGCCGGCCUGAGAGGGUGAACGGCCACAAGGGGACUGAGACACGGCCCUUACUCCUACGGGAGGCAGCAGUGGGGAAUAUUGGACAAUGGGCCACAAGCCUGAUCCAGCAAUUCUGUGUGCACGAUGAAGGUCUUCGGAUUGUAAAGUGCUUUCAGUUGGGAAGAAGAAAGUGACGGUACCAACAGAAGAAGCGACGGCUAAAUACGUGCCAGCAGCCGCGGUAAUACGUAUGUCGCAAGCGUUAUCCGGAUUUAUUGGGCGUAAAGCGCGUCUAGGCGGAAAAAUAAGUCUGAUGUUAAAAUGCGGGGCUCAACUCCGUAUUGCNUUGGAAACUGUUUUUCUAGAGUACUGGAGAGGUGGGCGGAACUACAAGUGUAGAGGUGAAAUUCNUAGAUAUUUGUAGGAAUGCC